UACAGAGGGGGCAAGCGUUGUUCGGAAUUACUGGGCGUAAAGGGCGCGUAGGCGGCCCGCUAAGUCGAACGUGAAAUCCCCGAGCUCAACUCGGGAACUGCGUCCGAUACUGGUGGGCUUGAAUCCGGGAGAGGGAUGCGGAAUUCCAGGUGUAGCGGUGAAAUGCGUAGAUAUCUGGAGGAACACCGGUGGCGAAGGCGGCAUCCUGGACCGAAACUGACGCUGAGGCGCGAAAGCUAGGGGAGCAAACGGG
rnacentral:rRNA from 1 species